GAUGAACGCUGGCGGCGUGCCUAAUACAUGCAAGUCGAGCGAACAGACGAGGAGCUUGCUCCUCUGACGUUAGCGGCGGACGGGUGAGUAACACGUGGAUAACCUACCUAUAAGACUGGGAUAACCUCGGGAAACCGGAGCUAAUACCGGAUAAUAUAUUGAACCGCAUGGUUCAAUAGUGAAAGACGGUUUUGCUGUCACUUAUAGAUGGAUCCGCGCCGCAUUAGCUAGUUGGUAAGGUAACGGCUUACCAAGGCAACGAUGCGUAGCCGACCUGAGAGGGUGAUCGGCCACACCGGAACUGAGACACGGUCCAGACUCCUACGGGAGGCAGCAGUAGGGAAUCUUCCGCAAUGGGCGAAAGCUUGACGGAGCAACGCCGCGUGAGUGAUGAAGGUCUUCGGAUCGUAAAACUCUGUUAUUAGGGAAGAACAAAUGUGUAAGUAACUAUGCACGUCUUGACGGUACCUAAUCAGAAAGCCACGGCUAACUACGUG
rnacentral:rRNA from 1 species